UGACGUGAGGUUUUAAAAGGUGACAUCUGUUACCUCAUUGAUUGCCAGCAUUGAUUCAGCAAAUUUGGCUGGUUAGACUGGGUGUCCCCUUCCUCCUUCACCACUCCAUGUGCUUCCCUCCCAAAGCUGCACUUUUGGUUAAAGAGGACAAUUUCCUGCUAAAGGAGUAUACAGAGGGUAUGUGAGUGCUUCCCUGCUAGAACUUACAAACAAGCUUGCAAGGUCCAUUCAAUGUAGGGUAGUCAAGCUUCCAAGACUUCAGAUACAUCCAAAUAAGGUGCUGCAUGUGGCAGUGUGCCUGUCUAU
rnacentral:snRNA from 1 species